GACAGAGGUCCCGAGCGUUAGGCGGAAUCACUGGGCUUAAAGCGUGUGUAGGCGGAUGCCUAAGUACCUUGUGAAAUCCCACGGCUCACCCGUGGAACUGCUUGGUAUACUGGGUGUCUUGAGCCACUUAGGGGCUACCGGAACAAAUGGUGGAGCGGUGAAAUGCGUAGAUAUCAUUUGGAACGCCAAUGGUGAAAACAGGUAGCUGGGAGUGUGCUGUCGCUGAGACACGAAAGCCAGGGGAGCAAACGGG
rnacentral:rRNA from 1 species